rnacentral:rRNA from 1 species
CUACGGGGUGCUCCAGUCGAGAAUCGUCUAUAAUGGUUGCCCCCCUUCUCUUUCUCCUCCGCGUGAACGAAGAAGCUUUUCGGAGUGUAAAGCUCUUUUCUGUAUGAGCAAUGCUUCAUUGUAUAAGAUAUAAUGAAGAGAGAUAUUAGUACAGGAAUAAGCCACGGCUAACUCCGUGCCAGCAGCCGCGGUAAUACGGGGGUGGCAAGCGUUGUCCGGAAUUACUAGGCGUAAAGGGCAGGUAGGCGGAUAUUCAAGUCAGGUGGUUAAAGGCAUCAGCUCAACUGGUGUACGGCAUUUGAAACUGGAUAUCUAGAGUCAGGUAGAGGUAGAUGGAAUUCCUAGUGUAGCGGUGGAAUGCGCAGAGAUUAGGAAGAACACCAAAGGCGAAGGCAAUCUACUGGGCCAUGACUGACGCUAAACUGCGAAGGUGUGGGUAUCAAACAGGAUUAGAUACCCCAGUAGUC